UGUUGUUUUCUCGAAAAUCAAUUAAAAAAGACUGGAUUUUGUGUUGUAUUGACUUUAUCAGCUUUCUGCACUCUUUUCUUGUCUUUUUUAAUGCACUUUUCGUUUAACAAGUCAACAUCAAUUUCUUUUGUUGUAAAAGGGUCAUUGGAAGGUGGCUUUCCUUUCGGAGAAAGUGUUUAUAGCCUUUGGCCUCUGCAAUCGGAGAGAUUGAGGUCUGCAGCGUAGAUCCUUCGGGGUUAGAUACAUUUGUGCUAAGUUAUAGCCUUUCAUAGACAACUUGUUGACUAUGAUCAGUCAUGUAGCUUACUCGCUUAUGCUAUUUUACCUAC
rnacentral:rRNA from 1 species